rnacentral:sRNA from 1 species
CCCAGGAGGAAGGAGGGGGGACUGUUAGCAGCAUAGGAUUGAGGAGUUGGAAGAGACCUUUAGAACAACUGGUCAUUAUGCUGACCAGGUGUCUGCACUGUGUUCAGCAUCAAUAUGGUGAUCUCCUGGGAGCAGGGGGCCACUGGGUUGCCUAAGGAUGAGUGAACUGGCCCAGAUCAGAAAGGUAGUCGAUCAGAACUCCCGCACCGAUGGGUAAUGGGACUAUGCCUGGGCAAUAUAGCAAGAUCUUGGUUCUUAAAAGGAAAAAU